rnacentral:lncRNA from 1 species
CCCCUUCCCCGACCUCAUUAAUGGAUCGGCAGUGGAAGGAGAGUUAUCGUGCUGGAGAUCUCUGCAUGCCUGAGGCCUUCUGAGGUGAGACAAUGAAUCCCAGAGCACAAGACCCUGUGUCAGUGAGUGAAGAAGCAGCCCGUGAUGUGUAAGCAAAGGGGCAAAGCAGCGUCUCACAGGGAAGCCUUGAUCCUGUGAUUCAUCCACCCACUGUGACUUUGAGAUUGGCUUUGUUCCACCUAGAUGCAACGACAGAGUCCUACUGAUUCCAUGGGAACCUUAGAAAUCAAAGAAAACUUGCUGUGGUAACCAGCAAAUUCAAUAACAGCAUCGAUUUCUCCAGCUGGACAAUUAAAGAGCAUAAAUGAGGG